ACGCCCGCGGGCUCUCGCCCCUCCUCACACCAAUCCCAGCCCGGUCUGCUCCGGCGAGUCCAAUCACCGUCCGAGAGGGGCGGCCCUCACCGCUCCGGGCCCCGCCGCCCUCCAGAGUGACGCCACUAAGCAUCCAAUAAGCUUUGGUAUACUUGAGGCCAACAACAAGGAACACAUAAUCUGAUCUCAGGAAACAUUUUGCAUCAUCUGGUAAAGAUUUCUGCCUCAUCAGAUUACAGACUACAUGUGAAGCCUUGAAGAUACCUCCAAGGAGCUGCAUGAGCACAAGGCAGUGUUCUCACAGUGAGCUAGGAAGAGGCUUGCACUGUCACUGCCAGCCCCUUUGUGCAUCAGAGAAGGCCUGAGCGUAAUUGAGCAGUCAUUGCUGUCUCCUCCAGGCAGAGGAGCCAUCCUCCUCACAGAUGGCUGAAGAUCUUAUGAAGCUGAACCUCCCAACAAAUCCUCAUAGUUUGAUACAAAUAAGAAUAUGAUUGUCAAUAUUCAUACAAUGUUUUAAACCUUA